AGUGAACGCUGGCGGUAGGCCUAACACAUGCAAGUCGAACGGCAGCACAGUAAGAGCUUGCUCUUACGGGUGGCGAGUGGCGGACGGGUGAGGAAUACAUCGGAAUCUACUUUUUCGUGGGGGAUAACGUAGGGAAACUUACGCUAAUACCGCAUACGACCUACGGGUGAAAGCAGGGGAUCUUCGGACCUUGCGCGACUGAAUGAGCCGAUGUCGGAUUAGCUAGUUGGCGGGGUAAAGGCCCACCAAGGCGACGAUCCGUAGCUGGUCUGAGAGGAUGAUCAGCCACACUGGAACUGAGACACGGUCCAGACUCCUACGGGAGGCAGCAGUGGGGAAUAUUGGACAAUGGGCGCAAGCCUGAUCCAGCCAUACCGCGUGGGUGAAGAAGGCCUUCGGGUUGUAAAGCCCUUUUGUUGGGAAAGAAAAGCAGCAGGUUAAUACCCCGCUGUUCUGACGGUACCCAAAGAAUAAGCACCGGCUAACUACGUG
rnacentral:rRNA from 1 species